rnacentral:rRNA from 1 species
UACAGAGAUGGCAAGCGUUGUUCGGAAUCACUGGGCUUAAAGCGCGUGUAGGCGGAGCGAAAGGCACCUUGUGAAAUCCCCCGGCUCAACCGGGGAACUGCUGGGUGAACCGGCGCUCUUGAGGCAGGUAGAGGUCACUGGAACCAUUGGUGGAGCGGUGAAAUGCGUAGAGAUCAAUGGGAACGCCGGUGGCGAAAGCGAGUGACUGGGCCUGUACUGACGCUGAGACGCGAAAGCGUGGGUAGCAAACAGG